UACGGAGGGUGCAAGCGUUAUCCGGAUUCACUGGGUUUAAAGGGUGCGUAGGUGGGCAGGUAAGUCAGUGGUGAAAUCUUUGGGCUUAACCCGAAAACUGCCAUUGAUACUAUUUGUCUUGAAUAUUGUGGAGGUCAGCGGAAUAUGUCAUGUAGUGGUGAAAUGCUUAGAUAUGACAUAGAACACCAAUUGCGAAGGCAGCUGGCUACGCAUAUAUUGACACUGAUGCACGAAAGCGUGGGGAUCAAACAGG
rnacentral:rRNA from 1 species